CGCGGAUGCACACUCUCGAGAGGACCCGGCGGCCAGGCACGCACCCGGGCAGAGAUGAGGCUGAGUCACGCACAGGAAGGAACGGGUAGCUGGUGGACAGCAGGAUGUGGAGGCUCAGUGCUGCUAAACCCCCAGCACUCUGCUACAGCCAAACUGAAUGCCAUUUGUUGAAUGAGCAAAGAAAUGAACGAAAGAAAAAGCGACGAUCUUUUCCAUUUCAUCUGACCACCGACAGUAUUGCUCCAAAGUAGUUUGACUC
rnacentral:lncRNA from 1 species